rnacentral:lncRNA from 1 species
ACCUUUGAUGUCUUGAUUCCUUGAAAUCUAGUGAUUUUCCCUUGAAUUUCUUAGCUAGGGUUUUGUUCUUCUUCUUUUCUUCCCUUUUCUUCCUUUGGCCGACCAAGAGAAAUGAGUUGGGAGGGUUAUGGUUUGAUUUUUAAAGCCAAAUAAUAAAAUAAUCCAAGCUUGACACUUGUCACCAUGUUAUUGGUCCAUGUUUAAAAACUUAAUAAU